AUGGCAGGUGAAGAAAACGAGUAUGAUGUUGGAGGAAAUGGGCAUCUCAAUCAGCCCGUCACACGGUUUCACUUCAAUGCAUUACGUGAUCAUCUCCGCCGAGAGUUCAGAAAUAGCCUUGACCCAAUUGAAGAGAAGCAAGACAAGUUGUCGAGAGAUUUGCAGCAACUUAUGGGUAAUGUUGAUGAGCAACUCACUCAGAACAUGGCAGCCAUGAGGACUGGUAUUGUUGCUGAUAUUGUGCGAGAGCUUCGUCAGAACCGAGAAGAUGCAAGUGUCCAUGGUGAAGAACAAAAUGUAACUGAUGGGGAAGGUGCUGCCUCCAAUGCACAAGCUAGAAGAAACCGUGCUCCUGCUCCCCAUGCCAUGAUACCUCCCGGUCCCGGACAUGGAAAUGAUCAUGGUAAUGGACGUGGUCAUCAUGAAGCUGCUGCUGGUCGUGGUCUUAGAGGAGGCCACCGAAGAGCAAAUCUGCACCAUGAAGGUAGUGGAGAUGAGUUUGAUGAAGAUGAAGAUGGCAUGCACCAGAAUGACAGAUUUCAUCAUCGUAGAAACUAUGGUCAUGGACGGCAGGAGGAGGAGAGGUUU
rnacentral:rRNA from 1 species